rnacentral:rRNA from 1 species
GACGAACGCUGGCGGCGUGCUUAACACAUGCAAGUCGAACGGAAAGGCCCUGCUUUUGUGGUGUGCUCGAGUGGCGAACGGGUGAGUAACGCGUGAGUAACCUACCCUUGACUUUGGGAGAACUUCAGGAAACUGGGGCGAAUACCGGAUAUGAUCUCCUGCUGCAUGGUGGGGGUGGGAAAGGUUCGGCGGUUGGGGAUGGACUCGCGGCUUAUCAGCUUGUUUGUGGGGUAGGGGAUUACCAAGGCUUUGACUGGUAGCGGGCCUGAGAGGGGGACCGGCCAAAUUGGGACGGAGAUGAGGCCCAGACUCAUACGGGAGGCAGCGGAGGAGAAGAUGGCACAAUGGGAGGAAGCCAGAUGUAGCAACGCCGCGUGGGGGAUGACGGCCUGCAGGUUGGAAACCGCAUUCGCAUGAGAAGAGGCGUGAGUGACGGUAAUGGGUAAAGAAGCACCGGCUAACUACGUG